rnacentral:rRNA from 1 species
UACGGGGGGGGCAAGCGUUGUUCGGAAUUACUGGGCGUAAAGGGCUCGUAGGUGGCCAACUAAGUCAGACGUGAAAUCCCUCGGCUUAACCGGGGAACUGCGUCUGAUACUGGAUGGCUUGAGUUUGGGAGAGGGACGCGGAAUUCCAGGUGUAGCGGUGAAAUGCGUAGAUAUUCGGAAGAACACCGGUGGCGAAGGCGACCUUCUGGGCCGCAACUGACGCUGAGGCACGAAAGCGUGGGGAGCGAACAGG